rnacentral:rRNA from 1 species
AACGAACGCUGGCGGCAGGCUUAACACAUGCAAGUCGAACGCCCCGCAAGGGGAGUGGCAGACGGGUGAGUAACGCGUGGGAAUCUACCUAGUUCUACGGAACAACAGAGGGAAACUUCUGCUAAUACCGUAUACGCCCCAAGGGGGAAAGAUUUAUCGGAAUUAGAUGAGCCCGCGUAAGAUUAGCUAGUUGGUGGGGUAAUGGCCUACCAAGGCGACGAUCUUUAGCUGGUCUGAGAGGAUGAUCAGCCACACUGGGACUGAGACACGGCCCAGACUCCUACGGGAGGCAGCAGUGGGGAAUAUUGGACAAUGGGCGCAAGCCUGAUCCAGCCAUGCCGCGUGAGUGAUGAAGGCCUUAGGGUUGUAAAGCUCUUUCAGUGGGGACGAUAAUGACGGUACCCACAGAAGAAGCCCCGGCUAACUUCGUG